rnacentral:tRNA from 1 species
AUCCUAGUAGCUCAGUGGUUGGAGUUUCAGACUUCCAACUCUAAGGUACUCGGGUUCGAAUCCUGAGCAAUGACA